GACGAACGCUGGCGGCGUGCUUAACACAUGCAAGUCGAACGGAAAGGCCCUGCUUUUGUGGGGUGCUCGAGUGGCGAACGGGUGAGUAACACGUGAGUAACCUGCCCUUGACUUUGGGAUAACUUCAGGAAACUGGGGCUAAUACCGGAUAGGAGCUCCUGCUGCAUGGUGGGGGUUGGAAAGUUUCGGCGGUUGGGGAUGGACUCGCGGCUUAUCAGCUUGUUGGUGGGGUAGUGGCCUACCAAGGCUUUGACGGGUAGCCGGCCUGGGGGGGUGACCGGGCACAUUGGGACUGAGAUACGGCGCAGACUCCUACGGGAGGCAGCAGUGGGGAGUAUUGCACAGUGGGCGGAAGCCUGAUGCAGAAGCGCCGCGUGCGGAAUGAAGGCCUUCGGGGUGUGAACCGCUUUCGGCUGUGGCGAAGCGUGGGUGACGGUAAUGGGUAAAGAAGCACCGGCUAACUACGUG
rnacentral:rRNA from 1 species